rnacentral:rRNA from 1 species
GUUGCCGGCCAUAGGGCGUGGGACCCACCUGAUCUCAUUCCGAACUCAGAAGUUAAACCAUGCUCCGUUUCUGGUGCUAGUGUGGUCUUCGGCCAUGUGAAGCCGGGAAAGCUGGCAAUC